UCCUCUGUAGUUCAGUGGUAGAACGACGGACUGUUAAUCCGUAUGUCACUGGUUCAAAUCCAGUCGGAGGAG
rnacentral:tRNA from 1 species